AACGGGUAAGUAACGCGUAGGUAACCUGCCUUGUAGCGGGGGAUAACUAUUGGAAACGAUAGCUAAUACCGCAUAACAAUGGAUGACACAUGUCAUUUAUUUGAAAGGGGCAAUUGCUCCACUACAAGAUGGACCUGCGUUGUAUUAGCUAGUAGGUGAGGUAACGGCUCACCUAGGCGACGAUACAUAGCCGACCUGAGAGGGUGAUCGGCCACACUGGGACUGAGACACGGCCCAGACUCCUACGGGAGGCAGCAGUAGGGAAUCUUCGGCAAUGGGGGCAACCCUGACCGAGCAACGCCGCGUGAGUGAAGAAGGUUUUCGGAUCGUAAAGCUCUGUUGUAAGUCAAGAACGAGUGUGAGAGUGGAAAGUUCACACUGUGACGGUAGCUUACCAGAAAGGGACGGCUAACUACGUGCCAGCAGCCGCGGUAAUACGUAGGUCCCGAGCGUUGUCCGGAUUUAUUGGGCGUAAAGCGAGCGCAGGCGGUUUGAUAAGUCUGAAGUUAAAGGCUGUGGCUCAACCAUAGUUCGCUUUGGAAACUGUCAAACUUGAGUGCAGAAGGGGAGAGUGGAAUUCCAUGUGUAGCGGUGAAAUGCGUAGAUAUAUGGAGGAACACCGGUGGCGAAAGCGGCUCUCUGGUCUGUAACUGACGCUGAGGCUCGAAAGCGUGGGGAGCGAACAGGAUUAGAUACCCUGGUAGUCCACGCCGUAAACGAUGAGUGCUAGGUGUUGGAUCCUUUCCGGGAUUCAGUGCCGCAGCUAACGCAUUAAGCACUCC
rnacentral:rRNA from 1 species